GCGCGGGGACGACCCUGCGCCUUUUCGCGUUUCCGGGGACGACCCCG
rnacentral:ncRNA from 1 species